CAAAUACUCCUUGGAGAAGAAAUACCAUUUGAAACAAACAGAAAAGAUAGGAAUAUGGUGAUCCCUAAUAUAUCAUUCCUUCUUCUCCUUCAAUCUCUGUACCGAUGUAAUGCAUUCAGUGGCUUUAUGAGAAUAAAAUAUAUAUAUUCUUCGCCUGUAAGCACGCUGCUGCAGCCUACGUUUUCUAAUGCUUAAUCGAGACA
rnacentral:lncRNA from 1 species